AGGAGAGACGCUAGAGGUUUAUCUUCAGGGCCCCGGGUGGGGUUGGGUCCUGUCUGGUGCAUCGCAUCACGGAAAAAAGCGUUUCACCAUAUUGUACUGCCAGCCUUACAUGGAAUCGAUUACGGAGAUGCAAGCUUGAAUGAUGCACCGAUCAUAUAAGUGCCUGACGAAUCGUGAGAAAGAGGGACAGACGGGAUGUACGGGUGACCGAGUCCAUGUGCGGUACCGAAUGCUGGGCAGAUCACCGCCUCAUCAUUAUCAAGCUUAAUAUACACAUUCUUCAGCCCGAGCAACGUCCGCAAGGGAAAAAUACCUCGAAACGCGUGAAUAUUUCUAAGCUGAAGACAGUUGCAAGCAUUCCUUCCUUAUUGCGUUGGAAGAGCGCCUGGCAUCUGCCUCCAAUCAGAACGUGAAGGCAGAUUUGGCCGCCUCACUCAAAGAGCUUAUGUAUAAAAAAGCCACAGACAUCCUUGGGCCCAAAACUAAGAAACACAAUAAUUGGUUUAAUGAAAACUAGGACAUAAAGUAAUUAUUGGAUGAAGAUCAUCACCUCCAUCAAGCCUACCUCAGUAACCCCAAGUCCGUAGCCAGGAAAGAUGCAUUCAAAUUGUGCGCAAAAAGGUUCAUCAAAAACUUCGUCAGAUGCAUGAUGAGAUCCAAGGCUAUGCAGACCGGCGCGAUUACAAAAAGUUCUAGGACGCCCUGAAAGUAGUGUACGGCCCAACAUCUUCAGGAUGAAACCCUCUCCUCUGUUCAGAGGGCCAAACUCUCAUCACAGAGAAAUAAAAAAUCAUGGAAAGGUUGGCCGAGAACCUUGACAUCCUUCAGAACUGAUCAUGCAUAAUAAAUGACCAAACCAAUAAUCGCCCUCCAUCCAAAGUACCCAUCACCGAGGGACUACAUGACCUUGCUUGAGACCCGUCUGCUCUCCAAUGUCAAGGCGCUGGACACUGGCGCCAUCCUGGCUGAAGUGUACACAGCCCUUACUGCCUGGCCCCGUCAGACGUUUCUUCUAAUUUUGGUGAAAAAGACUAUUCUCCAGGCAUUCAAAGACACUUCCACAAUACAUCUGCACAAAGAAAACUGAUGUCCUAUAUCAGCCCGCGCAUGGCAAGCCUUAAGCUGAGUACAACAUUACUGUCAAUUGCCAGAGACUGGACCGCUUCUUUACCUUGGAAGCAGACUCUCACAUAAUGCCACAAUCGAAAACGAAGUGAACAUCCGUAUAUCCAUAGCCUGCUCCACCAUUUGAAGACUACUGUAUACCCAAAUUUUUGGAACAGAAGAGGAUCACCACCGGAACUAAGCUGAAAAUAUACAUACAGUGCAGUGGUGCUCCCUACGCUGCUCAAUGCAUCCGAAACAUGGACAGUGUAUCAAGGCCAUGCCUAUCUUCUCAGGAAGAUAUUCAGAAAUAAGUGGCCCGACAAAACCCCAGACACAGAGGUAUUGGCUAACGCAGGUCUCCACAGCAUCUUCACCAUCGUGAUGCAGUCCCAACAUCGCUGGGCAGGGCACGUAGCCCGUUUGCCUGACGAAAGUCUUCCCAAAGGACCCUUUUAUGGCGAGCUGAAACAAGGCCAGCGGUCACACGGUAGGCAAAAGAAACGCUUCAAACUCUCUAAAACCUCACUCAAAGCGUUUUGAGUCAACCUAGACACAUGAGAACACAAUGGAUCGCACCAUCUGGCGCGCUUAAAUCUACAAAGGCACUAAGACGUAUGAGGCGAACAUAAAAACUGCCGCAGUGAAUUAGAGGAAAGCCCGAAUGGCCCGUGCUACCAACGCAACUGGAGACAUGCUCAAUACAAUUCCGUGCAAGGAUUUGCCUCAUUAGUCAUCUGCGCACACACAGACAAAACCAGUCCCAGACGCAGGGUUAAGAUGACUAAAAUGGUCCUCGUUAAGCCGACGGACGAACAACAACACCCAAGGCUUUCACGCAGCGUCUUCUGAAGUGAUUAAUAUGGUGUCUUUAUAGAGCGAGCGGUAAAAUUUAUUUUCCACGGUUAAACAAACGUUGGUACACAUGACAUUUGGUACUAUUUCACCUCAUCGAAAUUUAUUUGUAAUUUCUUUUGUUCACAUGCAUGCAAAUCAACUUUUCUGAAAACAAAUCACUAUCAUAUAUAUAUAACAAUGUAUUCAAGUCAAAAUCACCCGAAAACGGGGUGGAUCGCUUUGAACAGCCAUAACUUCAUCAAUUGUGCAGCGAUUUUCACGAACUUGGUCUUAUUCACCGCAGAAAUGAAUUUCCUUUCUGUAAAUAUAUAUGAAAAUAAUUGAGUACUUGAUAACAUUUCUAAGAACAUCAGAUAAUACAUUUACCAAAAAAGUUUAUUUGACUGUAAUGAUAGUAUUGAGUAUCCAAACAAUAAAAAUUGAUGUACGUUAAUAAAAGAACUUCUAAGUAAUUAGGGAUUUAAUGAUGCUUAGCUUUUUCAAGAUUUUGGCCAUGAAAAUGUAUUCUUAUCAGUCGUAAGGCGAAGAUUGAGCGACAUUUGUGCCGACUUGGAAUGAGAGAUUUCAAAUGUCGACUAGCGCACAUGUUUAUCAACAUAUCGCCCUUUUUCAAUUUCAAUCGAACAUGAACAUAUGUCAUAUAAAAAAAGUUUCCAGUAAGUUCAAUCAAAAUUACGAAUGGCAUCACAUAGACUAAAUAUUGAGACAGCAAGUUGGCUAAACCUGCAUCAAUCUCAUUAGAUCAAAGAACGUGUAUUGUUUGUAAUAAGCUUGAAGAUGCGUAUCAUUUUAUUCUUGAAUGUAAAUUAUUUACCGAACUGAGAUCAAAAUAUAUUUUAUUAAGUUACAGAGAAAGAUCAAACAUGGACAAAUUAAAAGAGCUAAUAGCAUCAAAUAAUGAACUGUUAUUAAAUCAAAUCGAGCUGUUAUAAGUAUCAUUCUAUUUAGGUUCGAUCGCAUAAUACCAUUUCAUGUAUUCUAAUAUGUGUUGUACUGCAUAUAUCUGGUUGUAACAUUAAUUUUAUUGAUGAUGUUUUGCGCUUUGAUUGUUGGGAUAAAAUGUACCGUGCCGAUCUAUUUAUGUGGUAAACUGUCGUUAUCAAUGUACUGUCAAAACUGUAUUUGAAUGCGUUUUAUCAAUGGCCUUAUCAUCUUUUAAUGAAAGUUAUAUUAUUGUAUCGUGUCUGUUCUUAAAUGUGUUCUACAACAUGUAAUAAAUUGAAUUACAUAUGUUAUGUCACAUUAAACACUGUAUUCGUAAUUGCUAUAUUUGUAUAUAGCAUUGUACAUGACCCUUUGGUCAUCUAUAUAUUUUAUAUCUCGUACGUGGUCUGUAUAAUGUUAAGGUAGCGCACCCGUAAUGGGCACCUAUCCAACUAUAAUCUAAUCUAUUAUUUUCCUAAUCAGCAUGAUUUCACUGAACUACAUGCACAUUUUUAGGUAUGCUUUUCAUGCUUUAAAAAAUAUACUGAUAUUUUCAAAACCGCCCCAACACUCGGCGUUUGUCCAGUUUACCCUAGGGUAUAUGAAAGUUCCAUAAUUCAUCCAGAUUUCCAAAUACAGUUUUCUUUUACAGAUAUUAAUUUUUUAUAAAUUGUUAUCUAUGGAAAAGCGCCAUGAAAUGUAAGUGGUUUCAGGCAAGUAGAAAUUGGGUUGGUUAAAAACAAAGUGUCAUAAAAUUCAAAAUAGUAUCAUUAAAGUAAUAUUUUGAACUUAGUUUUUAUAGAUACACUAUAUACAGCAAACAUACCAAGAAAUUGAAAGAUUUACCGUUUACUUUUUUAAAUAAAAAUAAAAAUGCAACAUGCAUGGUUCGUUUUUUCAGCAGUAAAUCACC